ACUAUCUAUGACAUCAACAUUUGUAGUUUCAUCAUUUCCAGGAGUACCAAUACAUGGACUUGUCUGAGUGUUUGUUUUUUUGUCUUUUGUUGGAACAUGCCUUCUGUUUUUUUUUCUUUAGCUGAUCAUGCCACUUGGGCUGUGUCCGCAAUAGACUCCAACAAUGUAUGAAUUGGAAAGCCCUCUUCUCUUCGCUUUUAAACAAAGCCAUCGCCUGCGAGAGCUACAGAAGUGUGGUUAGAUAAAUACAGUAGCAAACGUGUAGAAGACAAGUAAAAGAUGCUAAGGCCGCGUUCGGCAGCCCCCUAUUAGUUAACUUAUCUCCCUCGUUUUCCACGCGCACGCUUCCCGAACUGCUAAACGGUGUAUUUUUUGCAAAAAUUUUCUAUAGGAAAGUUGUUUUAAAAAAUCAUAUUAAUCUAUUUUAUAUUUUUUAAUAAUUAACAAUUAAUUAAUCAUGUACUAAUCUAUUACUAUGUUUUCCAUGCCAGGGCAUAAGUUAACUUAUACCCCAAUGUGGAAUACCUCUACUAGGGGUAUCAUAUCCGUAGACUAUACAUAUACGUAUGGUAGGGGUUACCGAAUAGGAAGGAAAUUAUAUCUGUAUGGUAUCAACCGAAGUUUUGUAACUGUAGGAUUUCAUGCCGCAUGUACCGGAUCUGAGUUGUAACCGAAUUAGGAUAGAUCUUAGUCUCACAGAUUAGGACUAUAUCUGUAAGCUCUAUCCCCCACUAUAUAAGGGGAACAGGGGCACCCCUCAUGGGGACAGCCAGAGACACAACACAUUUAGAUCGGCUAUCUUCUAGUUGAUCUGUCCACAAUAAAAUACAAUCGCCAAGCAGGAGUAGGGUAUUAUCUCACUAGUCAAGUUCCUAAACCUAUGUAACCCUGUGUCUUUAUCCUAACCAUCGAUAUUUACGUCUCGCUAGCCACCCCAUAUAUAUUGCCGACAUCCAAAUCAUCGACAGUUGGCGCGCCAGGUAGGGGAAGCUACUCCGAGGUCCUCGACGAGAUCAAUGGACCCAAAGUCGAAGAUCAUGAAGACAAAGUUUGUCCUGGGCAAACCUUCAAGUUUGGCAGCAUUAGAUUCCUCGCCGGUCAGGGUGGUGCGCUCUCCUACACGUGUUCAGAUUCAUCUGGGCCUGAGGACGAGGUGUGUUGCUUUGAAUCAAAGAACUUAGCACUAUUUCAAGAUGAGAUCCAAUCUAGAUCUCACCACACCAAGCUGUAGUCUCCUGAGUCGGCACCUCCGCUGCUCGGGGUCGAGGUCAAUGCAAAGUCGAUUGCUCUAGUCACCGCAUCAGAUACCUACAAUAGCUUGGGAAGCUUCGUUCCCCCUAGAGAGGUCUUUACUAUAACUCAGGCAACAACAAACGAGGCUAAGAAGAAGCGCCAAGAGGAACAAGCAGCCAAGCUGGCCGAAGAACAGCGGCAGGAAGACGAAUGCCAUCGACUUGAAGAUGAAACAAGACGCCAACAGGAGAAUCAAUCUCGCGAACAACUAAGGAGCCAGUCGUGCAAAUUGCAGCGCGACCUACUCCACACUCAGAUUGAGGGGCAUGCAGUUUUUAAGACCCCUCAACAAAACGUUCAAGCGGCGGUGGAUCUACUCGGCGACGUCGUUCAACAGCUACCUCAACAAGAUCUACCGCUAGUUGAAACCAUCAACAAGAUCAAGGCAAUGGUGACAACAGCUACGAUCCAACACUCAUUGCAAUGCAACUCGGGAACACCACUGGUACGGUCGGAGGCUCAGUCAUCUAGAUCACCCCGAUCUAGACCAAACGUUUCCAAACGACCAUCCGGAUCUCGGCCACCGACUGAUAAUAGAUCACGUCGAACAUCUCCCGACCCAGACCAAAGGAAAGACACUGCCAGUAAGCAACACGACCUCAAUGACGAAAUCCGCCGAUUGGAUAAACGACGCCAAGACCUUGAGGCUAAGAAGAAGCAUAUCUACCAGGAAGAUAGCUUCAACCUCUGCCGAAAGAUCGAACGCCAACAUCAAGCCCGCCAGGAAGGUCGUCGUCGGGACAGUGAACAUCGGAGCCAUAGCCCGAGAGCUCUGACACCGACAUGAUCGACGGUGUAGCGGCCUUCACCAAAAACAUGAGCCAGCUUACUUGGCUGACUAGUUUCAAGCCGAUUGGUAUCAAGAAGUAUGACGGUUCCACCGACCCCAAGGCUUGGCUAACGGUGUACACCAUGGCUAUCCGAGCAGCCGGCGGUGACACUAAAGCAAUGGGCAACUAUUUACCAAUCGCUCUAGAUGAUUCGGCUAGACAUUGGUUGUUGGGACUCCUCAAACAGUCUAUUGACUCCUGGGCAGAACUCCGUAGUCGGUUCAUAGCCAACUUUCAGGGUACUUACGACAGGCCACGACCCAAAUACGACGUAUACCAGGUCCAACAGAAGAAGAACGAAUCUCUACGGGCCUACAUCAAACGGUUCUCUGAGGUUCGCAAUUCCAUCCCCGACAUCAAGGAUGAUAUGGUCAUCACCGCCUUUUACAAAGGCGUGAAAGAUGAGUCAUUUAUCACGAAAUUCACUCGCAAAGAGCCAACUAUAGUCAAGGAUCUCUUUGACAUGGCUAACUCCUAUGCCGCAUUAGCAGAUGCAGUUUAUGCAUCUCGUCCCGAUCGGCACGACGACUCGGACGACAUGAACAAGGAUAAUUAAAUAUAAUGCUCAUUAGCUCUUCAUCUAUUUAUUGAAUCGACGUCUGGAUGCGGUUAUACGACUUCAUGGCUACACCCUACUUACUGUACCGAACCGGGUAAACGACGCUACGCUCCGCGCUGGCUAAGUCCGCCCGGGGGCUAUCGGGAUGGGCAUACUCUGCGAAGCCAACUGAUCUCACGACUAAGAAACAUACAACAGUAAAAGACUACUAGCAAACAGAUUAACACCAAACAUGAUUGAAGUCCGCUGAGUGGUCAAGAUGAAACGAGUGGUCAUCAAUGACCCUAGUUUCCAACAGAAGGUCGUAGGUUCUUCACCAACUUCGUCACCGCCGAGAUCAUCGCGGUCGAAUGAAGAUCUCUCUGCCAAGUCGGUCACACCCGACUUCAUCAUCGCCGAGUGGUGAUCCCAUCACUACACUGAAUGCAUGCACCGCCACCGUGUUGGAUGCAUCAACUUCGUCGCCGCUAAGUGGUAAUCUAUUUACCAUGUCGGCCACGUCUCUCUUCGACAUCAGGAUUGUCACCACCAAAUCGUGAUCGCAUCCGUAUGUUGACCGUCAUCAUCGCCAUCAACGAGAGAAUUUGUGGAAUAUCGAACAACUAAGUCCCUUUCAUACUUAGUACAUUUUCUAAAAAAGUUUCCUCUUUCUCUAUCCUUCGACUGCCCGCGCCGAGUGGUUUUCACCCUUAGCAAGCCAGUCGGGGGGACUACACUGUAUUAUGUCAUACGGUUCUUUUGAAAGUCUGUUGUUUAAAAGCUCUUUUUUGAUCAUGAGAUCAAUAUCGGAAUAAAGCUAACCAAACUUUGCGGCUAUGCCCUACUUACCGUACCAAACCGAGUAAUACGGUACAUUCUGUGCUGGCUAAAUCUACUCGGGGGCUAUCGGGAUGGGUACAUAGCACAAGUUUACACAGCUCGUUUCAGAUUGCAAGAUCUAAAUAAGAAUAAAGACUUAAAGCAAUAGCAAAACAAUUUACAUUACAAAUAAACAAAUGUCUUGCAAAAGACAGGUUACUACUAAUGGCUAUAUUUCCUAUUUGCAGGUCAAAGGUCAGAACUAUGGAGUUGGCACCGGCUUCAGCCUCCUCCACUAGCACCAACACCUUCUCCGAGUCGCAAUUGGCUAUAAAAUCUUCGACGGUGGCUAAAAAGACUACCCAGGGGUAAAGGGACUUCAUUAUGGCGAAGGCUUGACGAGUUGCAAUCAUUGUCAUGUCCCUCACCUCCCCGGCCACGCGCCCGGGUACCUCUCUAAAGCCUCUCAAGGAUUUUAUUGGGUGGCAUGGAGCUGAAACUGGUCACCAUAAGUCUCGAACGACCUGAAGAUCGCCAAGGCUGCUAGAAGCAAACCGGUCACGAGUAGCCUCGACUACUUUAAGUCAGGCCUCGAUAUCGGCUACUACUCCAGGAGUGCUCUAUCGCACCAAAUCUCUAAAAUCGCCGAACUAAAACAGUUCAACUACUCCAAAUCUCCAAAAUCAACUAAGUGUUACUAUAUCCCUCCGUGGGCUUAGCGGACCGAUGCGUAAAACUCGGUGCUGGCAUAGUUGAUACCAUGUUGACGAGAACGUUGCGAGUUUAUGGUUCGCCUAAACGGUGACAUAAGAUUCAUGAUUUCUCACAUUCCGGGAAUCAACCGUGCGCCCAUAUAAUGGGGCUAUAACUGUUUUUACACAGGCACUAUUUGAUAUCAUCCAUGGCACUUAAUUACGCUUUUUAACCUGUGCCUAAACUUUGAGUAAACCUGAAUAUACUCGGUACUAACUACUUGGCUAUAACGGUUAGGCAGUACUGCAUAACCUACCCUACAGGCACAAUGUAAUUAUAAAUUGCAUGUCUGGAGAGACACGGUACAAAAAAACAUCUCCAAACCACUUGGGUUCAAAUCGCUUGGAGAGAGCAACCAGAGCUGGGUACCACUCGAGUACGGAAGCACUCACAACAGUGUUGCUCGAGUCGGAAAACUCGAACUUCAAGAAACAUCUGUUGGGUAACAGUCCAUAGAAGACUCUAUGUUUAAUUGUUACGUAUUUAAGCAUAGAGUCGGGGGCUACACCUAUUCCUUUCUUCCGUUUAGAGCCAUCCACAGCCUCUACAAUCAUCAUAGAGUACUCAGGAUCACUCGGGAAGCACUCAGGGAGUGCCCAGGAAGCACUCGGAUAACGUCAAGCAUACUAUGUGAAGAUAUGCCUGAUGAUCAACAAUCUACACGGAUAAUUUGUGCGGUUGUGUACGACUUCGGGGGCUACUGUGGAAUACCUCUACUAGGGGUAUCCGUAGACUAUACAUAUAUGUAUGGUAUGGGGUUACCGAAUACGAACGUAAUUAUAUCUGUAUGGUAUCAACUGGAGUUUGGUAACUGUAGGAUCGCAUGCCGCAUGUACCGGAUCCGAGUUGUAACCGAAUUAGGAUAGAUCUUAGUCUCAUCAGAUUAGGACUUUAUAUGUAAGCUCCAUCCUCCACUAUAUAAGGGAAACAGGGGCACCCCUCAUGGGAUGGUCAGAGACACGACAUAUUUAGAUCGGCUAUCUAGUUGAUCUGUCCACAAUCAAAUACAAUCGCUAAGUAGGAGUAGGGUAUUAUCUCGCUAGUCGAGAGCUUGAACCUGGGUAACCCUGUGUCUUCAUCAUAACCAUCGAUCUUUACGCCUUGCUAGCCACCCCAUAUAUAUUGCCGACAUCCAAAUCGUCGACACCCAACAACGAACGCGGCCUAAAUGGUUUUGAAUUACCUUAUCCUGUAUAGUGACUCCGCUUUGCCUUCGGCCCUCUAUGAUUUGCUUGGCAAACGGGUGAAUGCUGCUCCUCAGGCUGGCUACUAAAACCAUCCCUUUCAAUGGAGUAGUUGCCCUCAUUCAUCAUAUUAGUGUAGAAUCCUUCUUCCUCCAUUUAUAGCAAUUCUAAAAAGUGAAUGAAAGCAACUAAAUAUUGGGCCUAUCAUCUCAAAAAAAAAUCAAGUAUUGUUCAUAUCAUCUGAAAAAAAAAAUCAAACUAUAACAGAAUUUGCGCAGGUUGAGCCUGAUUAAGACAUAUUUAUUUGGUACGAUGAAUAGCUCCUAUGAUUUGCUUGGCAUCAGAUUUCUAACAUCAUUGAAAGCAAUGACAAACAAUUAAUUUCACUAUUCUCUGAUAAAAGCAAUUAUAAACUCUUUAUUUACAAAUUGAAUAUUUUGAAUAUUUCAUUCAUAAUCCCUAUGGGCUACGCUAGCAGUAGAGGCUAAUAAAUCCCUAUGGGCUGUCGCUAGCAAUAGAGGCUAAUAAACUUUGUUCACAUCAUCAUUUUGUGCUAAGCUUCCUAUAUGACCAAUUAAGUGGGUCAUACCUUUGUGUUGAUGCACCGUGAUACAUUUUUUAGUAUGACCAGUUGCAGCAGGUUCAUCUCUCUCACACAUAUAAAAUCUUGUUUGAACUUUAAACUCCUUAUGACCUUGAUGCACGUUUUAUUGCUUACCCAGGUCAGUGAGUGGAAACAAUGUGCAAGACCAUCUCAACUACCUUAGCAUCGGCAUGCAUGCUGAGUCACUAGGAUCUUACAGAUUAUCACAGGUGACAAUACCCUGUACUACAAGAUGGACAAUGAUGGCGAUAUUAUUUUUUUGAAGCAGCCUGGUUUAUCAGUUGAUCAGUUACAUAGUUCACAGUGAACAAGCAAACUCAUGAGGUUUGGGAUGUAGCUGUUGGACAUACCUGUCGCGAGGAGGACAUGGAGCAGCACUCGGCUGGGAGGGGGAUGCUGGA
rnacentral:lncRNA from 1 species